rnacentral:rRNA from 1 species
CCUACGGGCGGCAGCAGUGAGGAAUAUUGGUCAAUGGACGAGAGUCUGAUCCAGCCAAGUAGCGUGAAUGAAGACUUCCCUAUGGGUUGUAAACUUCUUUUAUAUGGGAAUAAAAUGUUCCACGUGUGGGAUUUUGUAUGUACCAUAUUAAUAAGGAUCGGCUAACUCCGUGCCAGCAGCCGCGGUAAUACGGAGGAUCCGAGCGUUAUCCGGAUGUAUUGGGUGUAAUGGGAGCGUAGAUGGAUUGUUAAGUCAGUUGUGAAAGUUUGCGGCUCAACCGUAAAAUUGCAGUUGAAACUGGCAGUCUUGAGUACAGUAGAGGUGAGCGGAAUUCGUGGUGUAGCGGUGAAAUGCGUAGAUAUUAGGAAGAACUCCGAUUGCGAAGGCAGCUCACUGGACUGUAACUGACAUUGAGGCUCGAAAGUGUGGGUAUCAAACAGGAUUAGAUACCCUUGUAGUC